AGAGUUUGAUCAUGGCUCAGGAUGAACGCUAGCGGGAGGCCUAACACAUGCAAGCCGAGCGGUAUUGUUCUUCGGAAAUGAGAGAGCGGCGUACGGGUGCGGAACACGUGUGCAACCUGCCUUUAUCUGGGGGAUAGCCUUUCGAAAGGAAGAUUAAUACUCCAUAACAUAUUGAACGGCAUCGUUUAAUAUUGAAAGCUCAGGCGGAUAGAGAUGGGCACGCGCAAGAUUAGCUAGUUGGUGAGGUAACGGCUCACCAAGGCAAUGAUCUUUAGGGGGCCUGAGAGGGUGAUCCCCCACACUGGUACUGAGACACGGACCAGACUCCUACGGGAGGCAGCAGUGAGGAAUAUUGGUCAAUGGGUGCAAGCCUGAACCAGCCAUCCCGCGUGAAGGACGACUGCCCUAUGGGUUGUAAACUUCUUUUGUAUAGGGAUAAACCUUUCCACGUGUGGAAAGCUGAAGGUACUAUACGAAUAAGCACCGGCUAACUCCGUG
rnacentral:rRNA from 1 species